UACGUAGGGUGCGAGCGUUGUCCGGAAUUACUGGGCGUAAAGAGCUCGUAGGUGGUUUGUCGCGUUGUCCGUGAAAACUCACAACUCAAUUGUGGGCGUGCGGGCGAUACGGGCAGACUGGAGUACUGCAGGGGAGACUGGAAUUCCUGGUGUAGCGGUGGAAUGCGCAGAUAUCAGGAGGAACACCGGUGGCGAAGGCGGGUCUCUGGGCAGUAACUGACGCUGAGGCGCGAAAGCUAGGGGAGCGAACAGG
rnacentral:rRNA from 1 species